UCUCUGAGAGUCAUAGAGCAUCUUAUCAACCAAGCACUGGGCUGGUCUGCAGCUUUCCCAUUGGCUCCAGAAAGGGCCUUGCUCUGUGUAGGUUGGGGGACACCGUACAGGUUUUGGGGUACUCCAUGCCUGGAUGGAGAUUCCCUGGUAGACCUGGGAACAGCGCACAGGCUGGGAUCAAUGAGGAAGAGUUCGGACACAGUGGAGGGGAUUGCAGCGGGAGAGCCAGACUGACUAGUGAGAUGUGAGAUCUCUGUGUUUGAGAUCCUUGGACUGUAGGCCAACAGCAUCCUGAGCACAGAGUGGCUGCUUUGAUGACCUGCACCUUAUGGCAAGGCCAACAAGAGGAUCACCCACAUCCUGGAGAUUCUGAUGGAUGCUUAAAUGAUACUUCAAUGAAGAGCAGGGAGAAGAAGGCUGACCUCCUGAGAUGGUUCUGAGAAGGCUGAAAAGAAGCACUCAAGGACUGAAUCCUGCCAACAACCAUGUUCAGUUGGAUGUGGAUAUCCUCCGAGCCUUCAGAAAAGACCCUAUCUCCUGAUCUGCGGCCUGUGAGAGACCCCGAGUCAGCUCCGGGUGGAACCGUGCCCAGACUUCAGAGACCAUCUGAGAAGAACGGUGCUUUCCGCUGCCAGGUUUGGUGGGUGAUUUGCCCCCCGGUGGUGGGUAAUGAACUCAGCACAUUAUGGAAAGUUCCAGUUUCCCACCGCACAUCUGCAGGAAGGUUCCAAUCAAGGCUGCAGAGAGGAUUGACAGAGCAGGUGCCUGCAGGUGUGUGAGGCACCCAGGAAGCCAGGGAGAGCAGCUUUGUUACUAAUUUACACCAUACUGGUGAUGAUGGCUGCUCUGGGCCUCAGCAUUUAGGACCCUGCCUGGGCUCGCCUUUAAUGUGCACACAUUCAUUCAGCUCACUCACUCUGCGUCCAGCGCUGCUGUCCCGGCUGCGUUCAGAAUACCAACAAGGUCACACAGAGUGCCUUGGUAAUAACGUCCCUUACCUUGGUAAGGAUCUUUAUGAUGCACAAAACUCAUUUUGGUGGUAAUCACUCAAUUGGCAGAGCAGAAGCAGGCUCUUCCAUUUCCUCCUUUAUCUGGGGUGUGUCUUUGGGGAGAAUAGAACCCAUUUUCCCAUCCCUUGGACCUGUGUGGACCUUGAGAAGAGACUGAAACUUAGAGACGAAAGGACUUUUUUAAAAGGCAAAGUGAAGUCUUGUAACAGGGAAGUAGUCAUAGAAAAUCUAUAAUCUAGUAAUGUUCAGCAUCUCCGACAGUGGAUGCUAACAGUGGGCCUCGGAGCCCACUCUGUGACUCAUUAACUCAACGGCCCUCAGCCCCUGCUCCUUCUCACUCUCCUGAGCUCUGGCUCUUUGGAUCUGCAUGCUCUGGACAGUGCCUGUAACUGGAGUAGUAUAAUAUACAUGUAUAUGUGUAUAUAUAUUAUACAUAUAUAGCACAUAGGAUAUAUAUAUAUAUAUAUAUAUACACAUACACACACAUAUAUAUACGAUAUAGAAUGUAUGUGCUGCGUGUGCCCACAUUUGUGUGUGUGUGUGAACACUGAGUGUCUUCCUCAGUUACUCUUCAGAUCUUGUUUUGUGUGUGAGUACUAUAAUGCGCGCGCGUGUGUUUGACUGUGUAGUAUGCGCACUGUAUGCAUGUGUGCCCAUUUAUGAGCCAGAGGUUGACUUAAAACAUCUAUGGCUCUCUACCUUAUUUUUUGAGACAGGCUAUCUCUCCAUAAAUUUAGAGCACAAACCUACAGUUAGACUGUCUGGCCAGCAAGCCCCAAGAUCUACUGCCUCUACCCUCUAGCACCAGGGUUACGAAGUCCACCCUCAGCCUUUUGGUUCUUGUUUUUUUUCCUGGAUGGUAGAGAUUCAUUAUCAGGUACUUUUUGUUUUUGGUUUUUUUGUUUUUGUUUUUGUUUUUUGUUUUUUUGUUUUUUUUGAGACAGGGUUUCUCUGUGUAGCCCUGGCUGUCCUGGAACUCACUCUGUAGACCAGGCUGGCCUCGAACUCAGAAAUCCACCUGCCUCUGCCUCCCGAGUGCUGGGAUUAAAGGCGUGCGCCACCACGCCCGGCUUAUCAGGUACUUUUGUUACUGAACCGUUUCCCUAGCCCGCCACUCUAUGGUUGAGACGAGGUCUCUCACCAGAGCCAGUAGUAUGCUGUUUUGGCUAGACCGGCUAGCCAGCUCGCCUCCUGAAUGAUUCUGUCCCUGCUUCUCCAGUGCUGGGAUUACGUGUAUGCACCACUGAGACUGACUAUUCGCAAGUUCUGGGCCUUGAACUCAGCUCCUCACAACUUUGCGGCAAGCUCUUUGUCAACGGAGCCACACCCCCUCGCCUUAGAGACACUUGAUUGGUAUAGUUGGUUUGUUCCUGGCAUCUAGUGGAGAGAGGCCUGGGAUGGUGCCUCCUGGCUGGUUUCUCGUGUCAAUCUGAUACAAGCUAGAGAGAGAGGGGGAGGAGCCUCAGUUGGAGAAAUGCCUCCAGGAAAUCCAGCUGCAAGGCAUUUUCUCAAUUAGUGAUCAGUGUGGGAGGGCCCUGCCCAUUGUGGGUAAUGUCAUCCCUGGGCUGGUAGCCCUAGGUUCUGUAAGAAAGCAGGCUGAGCAAGCCCUGGGAAGCAAGCCAGUAAGCAGCAUCCCCGAAUGACCUCUGCAUCAGCUUCUGCCUCCAGGCUCUAGCCCUGCUUGAGUUCCUGAGUUCUGACUUCCUUCAAUGAGAGGUUAUGGAAAUGUGAGCAGACCCCCCCCCCCAACAAUAGAAACCUUAACUAGGACAUCCAUCAGGGUCUGGACCACAAAAAAUUGCCUCAGGGUGAAUGUUGCUAGUGACAUGUGGAGCUAGCUUCUCUUCUGGUCUCUCCUCCAUCUCUGGCGUCUCCCAUUGCCCACCUACCUCAUCCUAGCUGCUUGUCUCCCUUCCUACAGCUGCUCUCUGCUGCCCCCUCCUGGCACCGCCUUCCCAGCCUUGGUGGGAGAUGAGCAGACAGGGGUCAGGAUCCAGAGCCUUCUGACUUACACCAUAACCUUCUAGAGUCUUCUACAGGCUUCUCUCCAGCCCUGGCUGGCUUCUUCCUCCUGUGAAGGUCUCUCCAGUUCCUGCUUCCUGUGGUUUCUACUGGGCCCCAAAGGGACAGUGUUGGUCACGUUUGGUCACGUUUGGUCCCAUGUCCUCCUGGCAGGAACCUACCCAAGAAACAUGUCCGUAGGAGUCCGGCUUUGCCACACCAACCACAGCUGAUCCAAUUUUUCUUAAUUAGUACAUUUAAUUAUUAGUAACAUUUCACUUAAGUAGAAUUAAUUACCCCAUCAGCAGCCCUGGCCAACCCUUCUCACGUGAGCUUUUAUUGCUAUUCCCACACCGAGGCCAGGAGCCUCCCCCAUCCUUAUCUCUCUGAUGGAACUGGCUCCCAGCAAGAGCUCCUGGGAACGAAAUCCCCCACUUCUUGCACCUGUGGAGGACUCCAGCCAAAGCAUUCAAUCAAGCCAGAAAUUAUGGGCAGCUGGGGUGAGCACAGGACAAGGAGAGGAGCUGUGCACCCAAGGUGAUUAGCAUCUUAUUCCCCGCAGGCUGAAUGAACCCGAUUCAUGGACAGCUUCUGUCUCUGGGCUGUAUGUUCCAGAACAGGUGCUCUGUCAGGCAGUGGGGAGAGAGGCAAUGGACUCCAGCCUGCUUUUCUCACUUGUCUGCUUUAAGGUGGCCCUGGAGAGGAAGACUGAGGGUUAGAAGUACCAGCCUCUGAGCAGUUAGUGGGUUUGGGUUUCCUAGGGGUGCACACCAUUGGAUUGGGUAAGCCACACCCAGGAGGCUCCCCGGAGGUCAGGAAAUGGCAGAGACUCCAAUACCAGGUCAACGUGAUUAUGCCUGACGAGAGGGGCUCCUGUAGUCAGCCGGUCUGUGAAUCUCUUUAAACCCUUUCCUAAAUGACCCACAGAGCCGGAGCCUCAGGAGAGGCCGAAGUGGAUGCGGAGCUGGAAGGAUGCGUUUCAUGCCCACCUUUUGGAUGGCGCUGGUCAGACUGGCUGUCUGGCUGUCUGUCUCUAUCUCAUCCCAUCGCCCAAUGGUUCUUGACCUUCGACAGGUCACUCACUCUCUGAGACUUGGCUUGCUCAGCUGGAAAAUGGCUAACAGCUAUUUUGGUGGGCUGCAGUCAACAGGGGUCUUGACUGGCAGAAUGAUAAAGGCCCCCGGUGGCCCAGGAUCAAAGCAAUCUGUUUAAUUUUAAUUAGCCCCAGCUUGCUUUGCUUUUACUGAUUGAUUGACACUUGAGACUGAAGGAGUUUCACACUCUACCACUGGCUUGAAUCUUCACCUUUUCUGGGGGGAAAAAAAUCAAAAGACUUUUGAGAGACAGGACCUCACUAAACUGCUCAGACUGCUCUUGAACUUGCUUGGUAGCCCAGCUUGGCCUCAGCCUUGUGAUUUUCCUACAGAUCAUUGUGAGUCCUUGGUGGGACAACAGUGGAUGCAAAAUCCAUGGUACUGACAGAGCAAGGCAGAAGCCACAAGGACUCCACCAUAGUCCACGGCACUGACAUGGCAAAGCAGAAGCCAAGAGAGGAUUCUUUUAUAAUCCAAGCAAGGCGGAAGCCGGAAGGUCAGCUCCCAGCCACCAUGAUGGAGUGGAGCUGGUUCUGGCUUCAGUGUUGAAACAUCCAAGUUCAUUUUCUAACUCGUAUUUCAGAGUGAUUCUUGGGUCUAAUUCCAUCUGGGUAGUGUCUGCAACUAUCUCCUCCCUGUUUCCCUUGUGUGGUUAUGUGUAAAGUCCAUUCCUCCGUUUGCUGCAUAGGAAGGUGCUUGUCUUGAGAGAAAUGCCCAGGUAUGACUUCUUGUUGGUAUUUAUCUCCCCUCCUCCACCCCUGCCACUACUUCAGCUGGGGCAGGUAUUGUGAGCAGGGUUGUGAUGGUUUGUAUGUGCUUGGCCCAGAGAGUGGCACUACUGGGAGGUGUAGCCUUGUUGGAGUAGGUGUGUCACUGUGGGUGUGGGCUUAAGACCUUCAUCCUAGCUGCCUGGAAGUGAGUUUCCUCAUAGCAGCCUUCAGAUGAAGAUGGAGAACUCUCAGCUCCUCCUGCACUAUGCCUACCUGGAUGCUGCCAUGCUCUUGCCUUGAUGAUAAUGGACUGAAUCUCUGAACCUAUAAUCCAGCCCCAAUUAAAUGUUCUCCUUCUAAGAGUUGCCUUGGGGGCUGGUGAGAUGGCUCAGCGAGUAAGAGCACUGACUACUCUUCCAAAGGUCCUGAGUUCAAAUCCCAGCAACCACAUGGUGGCUUACAACCAUCCGUAAUGAGAUCUGAUGCCCUCUUCUGGAAUGUCUGAAGACAGCUACAGUGUACUUACAUAUAAUAAAUAAAUAAAUCUUAAAAAAAAAAAAA